GUUUCUUUCUUGUUCUUUACACACAACAAAUUUUCUGAUAAAAAGCAUAAUCAAUUCAUUUAUAUUACACAAGGAUGAAAAAAUCACUUAUAUUUUCAUUUAAUGUUUUACCUCUCCUCAUCAUUCUUGUACUAGUGGUCGGAGCGAUGGGGCAAGGAAAUAAAAAUAAAAAAGAUACAUGUCCCAUAUAUCUAGAAAACCAAAAGCCUGAAAGUUGUCAAGACAAGCCAGCUUGCCUAUCUGCGUGCAAGAAGAAGACAGAAGGGUCAGGGAUGCAGGAAAUAACCACUGGUUGCAUCUCAGGAAACAAAUGUGCAUGCUAUGUCCCAUGUCCAAAAUGAUCUUAAUGUUUAUUUUAUUGACAACAAAA